AUUGAACGCUGGCGGUAUGCUUAACACAUGCAAGUCGAACGGUAACAGGCCUUCGGGCGCUGACGAGUGGCGGACGGGUGAGUAACGCGUAGGAAUCUGCCUCAUAGUGGGGGACAACGUGGGGAAACUCACGCUAAUACCGCAUACGCCCUACGGGGGAAAGCGGGGGAUCUUCGGACCUCGCGCUAUGAGAUGAGCCUGCGUUAGAUUAGCUAGUUGGUAGGGUAAAGGCCUACCAAGGCGACGAUCUAUAGCUGGCAUGAGAGGACGAUCAGCCACACGGGGACUGAGACACGGGCCGGACUCCUACGGGAGGCAGCAGUGGGGAAUAUUGGACAAUGGGCGCAAGCCUGAUCCAGCAAUACCGCGUGUGUGAAGAAGGCCCUAGGAGUGUAAAGCACUUUCAAUUGGGAGGAAAACCUGCCGGUCAAUACCCGGCAGCUUGACAUUACCUUUAGAAGAAGCACCGGCUAACUCCGUGCCAGCCGCCGCGGUAAUAC
rnacentral:rRNA from 1 species